GUGGGGUAACGGCCCACCAAGGCGAUGACGGGUAGCGGGUCUGAGAGGAUGGUCCGCCACACUGGGACUGAGACACUGCCCAGACUCCUACGGGAGGCUGCAGUCGAGAAUCUUCCACAAUGGGCGAAAGCCUGAUGGAGCGACGCUGCGUGCAGGAUGACGGCCUUAGGGUUGUAAACUGCUGUCACGCUGAAGGAACCCACGUGUGUUAAUAGCGCACGUGCUGACCCAAGCGAGAGGAAGUGCCGGCUAACUCCGUGCCAGCAGCCGCGGUAAGACGGAGGGCGCAAGCGUUGUUCGGAAUCACUGGGCAUAAAGAGCACGUAGGCGGUCUGCUAAGUCAGGUGUGAAAGCCCCCGGCUCAACCGGGGAACUGCACCUGAUACUGGCAGGCUGGAGGAAGGCAGGGGUGAGUGGAACUCCAGGUGGAACGGUGAAAUGUGUAGAUAUCUGGAGGAACACCGGUGGCGAAAGCGGCUCACUGGGCCUUUCCUGACGCUGAGGUGCGAAAGCUAGGGUAGCAAACGGGAUUAGAUACCCCGGUAGUCCUAGCCGUAAACGAUGGGCACUAGGCAAUGGGCCUUCCUAUGGGGCUCAUUGCCGUAGCAAAUGUGUUAAGUG
rnacentral:rRNA from 1 species